rnacentral:rRNA from 1 species
UACGAAGGGGGCUAGCGUUGCUCGGAAUCACUGGGCGUAAAGGGUGCGUAGGCGGGUUUUUAAGUCAGAGGUGAAAUCCUGGAGCUCAACUCCAGAACUGCCUUUGAUACUGAGAAUCUUGAGUAUGGGAGAGGUGAGUGGAACUGCGAGUGUAGAGGUGAAAUUCGUAGAUAUUCGUAAGAACACCAGUGGCGAAGGCGGCUCACUGGCCCAUAACUGACGCUGAGGCACGAAAGCGUGGGGAGCAAACAGG